CAAUAGCGUAUAUUAAAGUUGUUGCAGUUAAAAAGCUCGUAGUUGGAUUUCUGGAUGGAGCGACCGGUCGGGCAUUAAUUUGUCUGCACUGGAGUCGGUUCCGUCCAUCCUCUUGGAAAGUGCGUCGGGCAUUAAGUUGUUUGGCGUAUGAUCCAAGUCGUUUACUGUGAAAAAAUUAGAGUGGUUAAAGCAGGCCUUCGCCUUGAAUACAUUAGCAUGGAAUAAUAAGAUAGGACUUUGGUCUAUUUUGUUGGUUUGCAGACCGAAGUAAUGAUUAAUAGGGAUAGUUGGGGGUAUUUAUAUUCCGAUGUCAGAGGUGAAAUUCUUAGAUUUUCGGAAGAUAAACUUAUGCGAAAGCAUUUACCAAGGAUGUUUUCAUUAA
rnacentral:rRNA from 1 species